CGGGACGGGUGAGUAUUGUCUGGGAAACUGCCUGAUGGAGGGGGAUAACUACUGGAAACGGUAGCUAAUACCGCAUAACGUCGCAAGACCAAAGAGGGGGACCUUAGGGCCUCUUGCCAUCGGAUGUGCCCAGAUGGGAUUAGCUAGUAGGUGGGGUAACGGCUCACCUAGGCGACGAUCCCUAGCUGGUCUGAGAGGAUGACCAGCCACACUGGAACUGAGACACGGUCCAG
rnacentral:rRNA from 1 species